rnacentral:rRNA from 1 species
AGUGGGGAAUCUUAGACAAUGGGGGCAACCCUGAUCUAGCCAUGCCGCGUGAGUGACGAAGGUCUUAGGAUCGUAAAGCUCUUUCGCCUGUGAAGAUAAUGACGGUAGCAGGUAAAGAAACCCCGGCUAACUCCGUGCCAGCAGCCGCGGUAAUACGGAGGGGGUUAGCGUUGUUCGGAAUUACUGGGCGUAAAGCGCACGUAGGCGGAUUGGAAAGUUGGGGGUGAAAUCCCGGGGCUCAACCCCGGAACUGCCUCCAAAACUUCCAGUCUGGAGUUCGAGAGAGGUGAGUGGAAUUCCGAGUGUAGAGGUGAAAUUCGUAGAUAUUCGGAGGAACACCAGUGGCGAAGGCGGCUCACUGGCUCGAUACUGACGCUGAGGUGCGAAAGUGUGGGGAGCAAACAGGAUUAGAUACCCUGGUAGUCCACACCGUAAACGAUGAAUGCCAGUCGUCGGGUAGCAUGCUAUUCGGUGACACACCUAACGGAUUAAGCAUUCCGCCUGGGGAGUACGGCCGCAAGGUUA